rnacentral:rRNA from 1 species
AUUGAACGCUGGCGGCAGGCCUAACACAUGCAAGUCGAACGAGUGGCGGACGGGUGAGUAAUGUCUGGGAAACUGCCUGAUGGAGGGGGAUAACUACUGGAAACGGUAGCUAAUACCGCAUACCCUCGGAUGUGCCCAGAUGGGAUUAGCUAGUAGGUGGGGAAAAGGCUCACCUCGGCGACGAUCCCUAGCUGGUCUGAGAGGAUGACCAGCCACACGGGAACGGAGAAACGCCCCAGACUCCUACGGGGGGCAGCAGGGGGGAAUAUUGCAAAAUGGGCGAAAUCCUGAGGAAGCAAUGCGGCGUGUAGGAAGAGGGCUUUCGGGUUGUAAGGUACGUUCAGCGGGGAGGCGGUACCGGCAGAGGAAGCAACGGCUAACUCCGUGCCAGCAGCCGCGGUAAUAC